GCCGUUACUGGGCGGCCCUUAGCGGUGGAGAUGGCCCUUGCCGGUGGCCGUUGCCAGGCUUUGGGGCUGGGAGUGCCGCACUGGCCGGUCUGCCCCACGCGCCUGGUCGGCCAUUUGUGGCUUGGUGCCACGAGGCUCAUGCAGUUCACUGUGGACGUGGAGAAGUUGCUGCAUGAGCACCUUACCUCAGGGUAGCCAGGUUUGAGCGAUAAAAGUCUGGUAACACUUCACAUCUGGUGUUUGGAUCCUUUGCUGGGGCUGCUGUGGUCACAGAGCUCGCUGGUGCGGAGGCUGCCAGCAAAGCCAAGCCUGUGUCACUGAGAUGGGCGUUACGGGGUGACCGUGGGCUCCACAGCAACUGGCCAGUUCCUGCCUAUGAAGAAAUCCUUCUCCCCUCAGUUCUCCAAAGUCUUUGCUAGGAAUCUGGCAGCCCACUGUCACAUCACAAUGUGGGGAUGGAGCCCAUGGAGUUAAUUUGGAUGCUUGUGUGCUGGCUCAUAGCAGGUACUGACGUGCCAGAGCUGACCUGCUCUCCUGGUACUAGAGGGAGCUCCAAACUGGAAGUUGUGGCAGGCAGUAUGAGCAACUGUGGCCAGCUCAGAGAACAGGAUCAGCUGUUUGGGACCAGGGUGCUCUUCCCAGGACUGGCUGCUUGGUACGGACGGAUUUCGUGAAGAAUUGCAGAGCAGUAGUUAAGAAGAACAAUGCAGCAUUAAUAUCUUCUGCAAUCCCAAAGCAGACAGUGCCCUGGCUGGAGUUAGUCUUGCUCUUGGUGAUAAUCAGCAAGCUGACAGUGUAAACCAGAACUCAGCCCACUUUGGCUUUUGCCCUGAGAAGAAGGCAGCAUGACACAUCUUACAACUUGAAUGUGCUGUACAGCUGUCUGGCCUCCGCAGAUGCCUUUUGUUAUUUCUACUAUUAACAAAAUUAAAGAACUAUAGCAAAACUGUAAGCAAGCAAGCAAGCGAAAAUGAAAGUUCAUCUGAUGACGAGUGAUGUCAAAGCAUUAUAUUACAAGCCAUUAAAUCCAGGCGUUUAUAUCAGUUUUUGCAGCUGCUCGCUAUGUCUUCUGCAAUCACACCUCCCAUGUUGAUGAUGUUCUAAAUUUCCUCUCCUGUCACGCCCCUGCCCUCCCUGUUAGGGCUCAAGUAUGAAUGUUUGGAAAAUCAAAUGCAAUGGAGCAUGCAAGUUAUCUCUUUCUCUCUCGUUGUUGAGCAACACUCAUCUGGCCAGGUUUCAGGCACUGCCUUUUGCCUCAGUUUCCCCAUCUGUUCUCAUGAAGUCCUGCCUGGAAGGUGACAUCUCAUCAAUGUUCUGUUUAUUUGCUGUGGU